AGUGAACGCUGGCGGUAUGCCUAACACAUGCAAGUCGAACGGCAGCACAGUAAGAGUUUGCUCUUACGGGUGGCGAGUGGCGGACGGGUGAGGAAUACAUCGGCAUCUACUUUUUCGUGGGGGAUAACGUAGGGAAACUUACGCUAAUACCGCAUACGACCUACGGGUGAAAGCAGGGGAUCUUCGGACCUUGCGCGACUGAAUGAGCCGAUGUCGGAUUAGCUAGUUGGCGGGGUAAAGGCCCACCAAGGCGACGAUCCGUAGCUGGUCUGAGAGGAUGAUCAGCCACACUGGAACUGAGACACGGUCCAGACUCCUACGGGAGGCAGCAGUGGGGAAUAUUGGACAAUGGGCGCAAGCCUGAUCCAGCCAUGCCGCGUGGGUGAAGAAGGCCUUCGGGUUGUAAAGCCCUUUUGUUGGGAAAGAAAAGCAGCAGGUUAAUACCCCGAUGUUCUGACGGUACCCAAAGAAUAAGCACCGGCUAACUUCGUG
rnacentral:rRNA from 1 species